GAUUGAACAAUCAGUGCGCGAGUUAUCAGUGUAAUGAUAAUUAAUUAUUUCCACAUGCUUACUAAUAAGCAAUCUAUAACGCUGGUUUGACCAAGCAAAAUUUACAUGCAUUCCACACAGAUGUUGACGUUGGGCAGGAUGUGAUGAAGAACCAGGAGCUGGUGCUGGCGGGCAGCUUGGCGACCAGCUUGAUGCUCUUUUUGAGCUUGCACGUCAACUUUAGGAAGGUCUUAACCAGUUGCCAGCUGCACUUCUUGGAGCUGCUCUUAUCAGAGUCGUAGUGAUCAUUGAUGACCAGCUGGCUGGUCAGAUGAAUUAUCGUUGUAGCUAUCAAAGUCUACAUAGUCGUCGUCCAGCUGCGACUACAGCUGCUGCAGCGGUAGCGACAGGCUGUUCCCAAUCAAUCCACAAAAUAAGGCUGAAUAAGGAAUUGGCACAACAAGAGGAGCUGUUGCAGAUGGUCCCGCAGUAUGGCAACAUGAAAAGGCAUCUGAGGCAGCAGAACUGGCUGGCGUUGCAAAGCUAGGCGGUGGCCAAGGAAGCUGAAGGAGAUCAGUACGAACUUAGGAGCUGCCAAUUGUUGCUGUCAGCGCGGCGUGAAUACUUUAUGCAACUUGUGCUUACUGUACCAAUGUGUACAUGUCUGCAGCGAGCGCAGAACUUCUUCUACACGAUACCUGCUACUGCAGUCGGAUCUACAUCCUGGAGAGUUUCCGACUUAACUGGAGUAAGGACUACAUCAGUUUUCCGCGGCAAUAGCAACAGCAAAAGCUGCUCAUCCUGCUUGAAAGGAUGCUGAAUCAAUUGCUUUUAUUUAAAU